GGGUGGUUUGCAUCGGCUUUAGGAUGGUUGGAUAGGUUGGCACAGCGCAAUCCCAACCUUAUGUUUGCCAAAGCUAAAUGAUGGUCAUUAAAAAACUCAUCAGAGGCAGCACUAGAAUAGUGCAAGCUAACCUAAGAAAAAGGUUUCCCCAAGAAAUUAUCAUCCUAAGGCAGGGGGUCAAGCCAACAUAGUUUUGAAAAAGACUCUAGAUACCAUAUUAAACUAUAGGAAAGAAAGAAAUAUUGAUCUGAAAUGGUAUGAUUUUUAGACAUGGAUGUUUUAUUUAUAUUGAACGUGAUAUAUCCU
rnacentral:sRNA from 1 species